rnacentral:tRNA from 1 species
AGCAUGUAGCUCAGUGGUACAGCACUUGCCUAAUAUGCAUGAGGCGCUGGGUUCCAUCCCCAGUGCUG